GUUCGUCUAGUUGGCUUAGGACGCCGCCCUCUCAAGGCGGAGAUCACGAGUUCUCCCAAAGGGACUCCUUCGGAGGAAUCCCGUACAUAA
rnacentral:tRNA from 1 species